rnacentral:rRNA from 1 species
UACGGAGGGUGCGAGCGUUGUCCGGAAUCACUGGGCGUAAAGGGCGCGUAGGCGGCUCGCUAAGUGGCUGGUGAAAUCCCGGGGCUCAACUCCGGGGCUGCCGGUCAGACUGGCGGACUCGAGCACGGUAGAGGCAGAUGGAAUUCCCGGUGUAGCGGUGGAAUGCGUAGAGAUCGGGAAGAAUACCAGUGGCGAAGGCGUUCUGCUGGGCCGUUGCUGACGCUGAGGCGCGACAGCGUGGGGAGCAAAC